UUUAAUUUUCCGGGAAAAUCCAAGAUACUUGGCAUUAAGACCGUACAUUUUUAGCGACCUCCGUAAGGGGAAAUGCCGCUUUUAGUUUUGUGCAAAAUGUCCGUCUGUCCGUCUGUCACACUCAGAUCUCAAAAACUAGAAGAGAAAUAAAAAAUAUUAGGCCUUUUUCACCAUGCGGCUUUCUUCUAAAAGUAAACCGUGUUUUUGACCCCCUUUCGAAUGUAGUAAUAUGACAAUAGAUCUAGGUUUAACUUUUCAAUGCUAUUAAGAUUUCAUUGUUUUGAAAGUGUUACACAGUUACCAUUCCUUGCCCUCGUUCUCUUUCAACGUUAGCAGUCCUAACCUUAGAUUUAAUUUUCCGGGAAAAAUCUAAGAUACCUGGCCUUAAGAACGUACAUUUGUAUCUUUUUUGUGUGUCCAUCUUGCUAGCCCUGACACACUAGCAGACGCCCUCUCUCGUUUAUCAUUUUGCAUCGUUUAGUAUUUGAUAAUAGGGUGCAUGUAGAACGGCCCUUUUUGUUCUAGACACUUUAGAAUAUCUCUUUUCAGUCAUUUCAUUAGAACAAUAGGAUGACAAGAGUCUGACUGAUCUAAAGAUCCAUAAUCGCAGACAUGGCAACGAUGAAGCGACUACUUUUAGUUGGCAGGGGAGGUAAUGGCCUAACAUCAUGUGCAAAGUCAAUUAACGAUGUACAAACUGACUACACUCCCUUUCGAACGUGGGCAAUAGAAUGUCCCGGAGUAGGGGACACAGGAGAUGACCGCAGAGAGAGCAUCGAAUGUACCCGAUAUAAACUAAAGGAGAUACUUAAGGAGUACAACAAAGAUGGAGGUUUCAACGCCAUAGCACUUGUCUUGAAAUAUGGCACAAGAUUCACCAAGCAGGAAAAGGACGCCGUAGAAGAAGUGAAACUGAUGUUUGGGGCAAACGUGUUUCAGAAGCACGGGAUAAUAAUCAUGAGCUACGGAGAUCUAUUUGGGCGGAUCGAUGAGACAGACGGGCCUACUUUUAUGGAUUGGGUAACGGAGCAGAGAGGCGACGUGGAGAAGCUGUUUAAAGAAGUCAGACGUAAAGUAUAUUUACUAGACAAUAAAACAAAUGACAUGGAAAUUAAAAGAUGCCAAUACAAUAACCUGAUCGAGUGUUUCGGAUAUUUAUCUGAACCGUACACAUUACAAGAUUUUGAAAAUGCUAGACGGGAAAACCUAAGCGCUGAUACGUCUUAUAAUGAUUCACAUUUUCCCCAGGGAGGACGCUCACGUUAUCAGUUAACACAUUUUGUUAAAGACAACCCUAAAAAUGUAUUGGUUUUGAUUUCGUUUUUAGUUUUCGCUGUACUUGUCUUCUUUUUCUUUAUCUUGUCCAUUUCUAAAACAUGUUAAUGACGAAAUCAAGGGUUAAUUAAUCCAAUUUCUAAUUGAGCUAUUUAAUAACAAGACAUCCACUUCAGUAUAUCAGUAAUUGAACGUUAUAGUCUGUUUAAAAAAAUGUCUUUGGAUUGGUUUAUAGAUAAAAUACAAAUAAUAUUUUUUUUACAAAGAUUAUACCAACUUUCUCCGUGUUGCUGUCUGUUUUAUACAAAUUUUGUUCACCUUAUUUAUUCCACUUCCCAUUCUCGGAUUAAGCCCUUAGUUAACUCUUCUUUGAAAGGAAGAAUAGAGUACAUUUUUUUUUCUUCUUCUGCGAUUCAUUUGUCUGUUGUAAAGUUUUUCCCUUUUUGUUUUUCAAAAAAAAUCUUUGCUUUAAUUACAAAAGAAUGUCAUCGCUCCAUCGCAAAGUAAAGGUCAUUUUCGGGGCUGUAUUUAAAUUUUGACUAUUGAUUUCUUCAUCCCCAAAAGUAGAGAAAAUAAUGGGCACUUGCGCUACAACUGCGCCUAAAAAUAGGAGACAUAGAGCUGGAUUCUCAGACCAUAGACCAAGUAGAUAAUUUUAUAUACCUAGGGAGUGUAGUCAGUGUAUCAGGUGGAACAGAUGAAGACAAUAAACGUCGAAUAAAUUUAGCGCGUCAGACAUUUACAGACCUAAAACCUGAAAAUCUCUUCACAUCUCUAACAAGACUAAAACAAGAAUCUCUAACUCUAAUGUCCUACUGUAUGGUUCUGAAACACGGAGAACAACUGAAGCAACAGCAGCCAAAAAAUUACAGACCUUCAUCAACAAAUGCCUGAGAAGUAUCUUACAAAAUACACUUGUAAGACAAAACAGAAAACACCAAACUGUUGGAGAUGGGUGAACAGAGACUUGCAGGGGUGCAGAUACAAAAAGAGCAUACCAAAUAUAACAUUUUCUGAUAAAAAAAAAAAUUUAUUGAAGUUUAAUCAGAACAGGAUAUUGAAAUGCAAAUGAGCAAAAGGAAUAAUUCUAUCAAAACGAGGAAAAUGAUUACGGAGAGAAAGAGUUAACAGCAGAGUUGAAGAAAACUGGUCAAGGUGAAAUCCGACGCAAUUAUUCAUUGUCCCUGACAACACAUGACUCAAUUCCAAAAUAACAAUAAUGUUAAUUUUUAGCGCUUUUUUUUUAUUUAAAAAAAGGAAACAUAUCUUACAUUAUUACGAUAUUUGCUGUAAAUGUGCAACUCUUUCCCUUACAUAAUAUUUUUAAAAGUAUUAUUUAAAUAUUUCGCAUGUUCAUUUAAAUGUUAUUUGGUAGCAGAUAACAAAAGACUAAAUACAAUAAAUGAAAAUAAAAAUGAAGAUCAUGUUUUAUUCCUUGUAGAAUAACAACAAUAUUGAUGUUCCAAAAUAUGUACAUUUCUUGCACCACUGUAAAUGUGUGAUUUCCAAUAUGUAUCGCUGGUAUUUCUUCGACAUCUUGUGCCAGGAUAAUAGUCUUGGAGAUGCUUAUUGUAAGGUUUGAUGGAUGCUUAAUCUGUAUUGUAGUCAAACUGUAGAUUCUUGUCAAAUUAUGACUAUUAACUCUUUCUCUCCGUAAUUAUUUUUCCACGUUUUGAAGGAAUUCUUCAUUUGGCUCA